GGGAAGCAGUAGCUCUGUAGGAGUUUCGAUCUGUGGAUUUGUGGCGGCAGGCAACACUGGUGUGCUUGUGCCGACGAUUACACCUCCUCGGCAGUGUAUUCCCGGCUUCGAUUCAUUAGCCCUGUAGAGGCUCUAUGGUUGAUCUGUGGCAGUAGACAGUGCCACUGUACGGUGCCAGCAAUAUCUUCGGGCAGUGGGUCAUCCAAGGUAGUCGAUAGAUGAUACCAGUA